UCCGUAGGUGAACCUGCGGAGGGAUCAUUACACAAAUAUGAAGGCGGGCUGGAACCUCUCGGGGUUACAGCCUUGCUGAAUUAUUCACCCUUGUCUUUUGCGUACUUCUUGUUUCCUUGGUGGGUUCGCCCACCACUAGGACAAACAUAAACCUUUUGUAAUUGCAAUCAGCGUCAGUAACAAAUUAAUAAUUACAACUUUCAACAACGGAUCUCUUGGUUCUGGCAUCGAUGAAGAACGCAGCGAAAUGCGAUAAGUAGUGUGAAUUGCAGAAUUCAGUGAAUCAUCGAAUCUUUGAACGCACAUUGCGCCCUUUGGUAUUCCAAAGGGCAUGCCUGUUCGAGCGUCAUUUGUACCCUCAAGCUUUGCUUGGUGUUGGGCGUCUUGUCUCUAGCUUUGCUGGAGACUCGCCUUAAAGUAAUUGGCAGCCGGCCUACUGGUUUCGGAGCGCAGCACAAGUCGCACUCUCUAUCAGCAAAGGUCUAGCAUCCAUUAAGCCUUUUUUUCAACUUUUGACCUCGGAUCAGGUAGGGAUACCCGCUGAACUUAAGCAUAUCAAUAAGCGGAGGAAAAGAAACCAACC
rnacentral:rRNA from 1 species